GGGGAUUUAGCUCAGUGGUAGAGCGCUUGCCUUGCAAGCACAAGGCCCUGGGUUCGGUCCCCAGCUUCA
rnacentral:tRNA from 1 species